rnacentral:rRNA from 1 species
AAUACGUAGGUGGCAAGCGUUGUCCGGAAUUAUUGGGCGUAAAGGGCUCGCAGGCGGUUUCUUAAGUCUGAUGUGAAAGCCCCCGGCUCAACCGGGGAGGGUCAUUGGAAACUGGGAAACUUGAGUGCAGAAGAGGAGAGUGGAAUUCCACGUGUAGCGGCGAAAUGCGUAGAGAUGUGGAGGAACACCAGUGGCGAAGGCGACUCUCUGGUCUGUAACUGACGCUGAGGAGCGAAAGCGUGGGGAGCGAACAGGAUUAGAUACCCUGGUAGUCCACGCCGUAAACGAUGAGUGCUAAGUG